CGCCAGCGUCUAAAUCCCGCCCAGGAGGGCAGCGGCUCUACCCUUCAGACUCUGGAGGCCAGGGCGCGGCGCGCACCAGCGCCAAGCGAGCACCCUGUUUCCUACCUACUAACUUUUCUCUUGGGAAAACGUAAUUUUUCAGUGUCAUUUGGGAAGUGUCACCUGCGGAAAAGCUAGGGAUUACGCCUAGCCUUUGAGGAACACGAAAGAAGUGAUAGGGUUAAGGGAAAAGAUCAGAGCUAGUUUGGCGCACUCUCGAAGUUUUUCAAACUUCGCUUCUUCCCGUGCCCUGGGCGCCGCAGUGCGCCUAGGUUUUCGCAGCUAGUUUCUGUGGGUGGGUGGUUAAUGGGUUGGGACGCCAGGUCUGAGGUUUCGGGGAUGUGCACCACGGCCUGGAAAGUGUGGUUCUCAGUGUGGAAAGAAGGAAGACCUGGUGGGGUAAGUGGGAGGAAAGCGUGAGUCUGAGAGGGUUGCAGAUGCCUGCUCCCUGGCAUCCUCACGUGCGAUGCCCGGUGGGGUCUCCCUCCCCCCUUUUUCCUGGUCUCGCUUAAUUUCCUAGCCACUUGUCCACCAAGAAGAAAUUUUCGUGGGUCAAGAAUUAUUUCCAAGCAAUUUUGUCCCGGUCACAUGAGAUGUGUAGAUUGCACGCACAUUUCUUGCCUUUCCCCUCAGGAGCUAGCCCAGGGCUCUUCAGUUCCCUCCAGAAAUCCACUCUCUUCUGCUCAAAAAUAAAUCCACUAAUCGUAUCUCUUACCACCACGGCUCCAUUUACUGAGAAAUCUUAAAUUUCGAUAGCUCUAAGAAUUCACUAAGCUUGGGCACUUGGUUACAUCUUUGCAUCCCUGAAAAUAAACUCGAUAACUUGCCUCCAGUAAGCAUGAGAGAGCAAGGACAGGACUUUGAUACUGCCACUUGCUUGGUGGGCGACAAGAUCCGCUGGGGCACAGUCGUUUAUACACAAGUGAAUGGUGCUGUAAUGAGCAGGAGGAAUAGUCAUGUCCCAUCUGGGACGUGUCGCAUCAGGAGAAUAUCUGUAGUCACCUAUUUCGCCCAGGGCCCCGAAUGCACCACCAGCAGUGUCGCCCUGUUAUUUUCAUUGUCUCAGGUGUCCAGAGGAUGAUGACCAGGUCUUUGAAGUUGUUAAUGGGAUUAAUGGGUACAGCAAACUGGGCUAGACAUCUGGUUUGAAUUAGGAAAAAGUAUUGAUUAAUCUUUGAGAGGUGUCCCCAAAGCAGAACCUUUCCCCUCUUCUUCCAGCCCCACUGUUUAAGCCUGACUAUCUUCUUUUCUUUUAAGUCACGCUGCAGAAUGGUGGCUUCGAAAUAACAUUCGUGUGAAAGAUCGAAUUGUUUUCUAUUGCUUAGAGGUGGGGUGGAGUGGGGGUUGAUCAGGAAUUCUGAGAUUUGUAAGCGCUGCUUUCUUUAACGGAAAUUGAGCUCUAUUUUGAGGGAAAUUAGUUUUGCAGACUUCGUUUAAAAAAAAAAAAAAAAAAAAAACUAAAACUUUUGUUCACCAGCUGCUCAGCUUUUCAGUCUGGGUCUGAGCUGAAACCUGCUGCAAGCCUUUGACGAUGCUAGAAAACUUAAAAUGACCUAUAUGAUUUACAUUGGACAGUGCCAGGCCAGAGGAUGUCAUUUAGAUUUUCUCUCUUUUAUUUCCUCCCCUUGCAAAAAGGUACCAAAUUACAUAUAUAUCUGUCAAAAUGAUGUAGGAUCUAAAGUCUCUCUGUAAGUUGAUCUUCUUGACCCCAUGAUUAGGAGCUUCACAAUGUGGUACCACACCUGGAAACCUCCAGAGCAACAUCUCAAGGAAAUACAGGAAAUUCCUGAAACAGCAAAAACCCCUACGUGAAGACGUUUGUUAUUCCUCUGUUCAUCAGGAGCAUCACUGUUAACUGCUGACAGGCUUGAAAGGGCUUGCUUGACAAUGUCCUUUUUGAAGAAAGAAGAGCCAGGUGUGUUAUUCAGAAUGGACUAGACAAUGCUGUCACAAGUUUACCUCUGCACCUCAUUGCCUUGGAAAAUUUUCCUGCAUAGCGUGGCACAAGAUGGUUGGCUCUCCAGUCAGCAGUUGGCGUUGUGAAUCAGUCAUCUCAGCAUGUGUCUCCAAGAUCCACAGCAAGGGAAAAAAGAGGUGGAGGGUCACAUACUUUGGUGUUACAUACUUUGAGGCAAAGGUGAUAGGUGCCAUUUCUGCUCACAGCUCUUGGGCCAGAACAAAGCCAUACAUACCUGUGAAAGGACUAGAAAAUAAUUCUGAAGCACAGGGCUCUUUGGUGAGCAGUAAAUAUUUCUGUUACACCAGGUUUUGACAAACUUCAAAUUUACUCCUAAUAGGCAUAAUUCAUAUCACUAAACUCUAUAUUUCUUGUGUCUUGCUGGCAUCUUAUGUUAACAUUUUCUAGCAUAAUGUCUGGCACAAAAUAAGAGUUCAGUAUAUAUAUUUAACAGAGCAUUUAGAUCUAAGCGUUUUACCUCCUCAUUAGAUUUUAGUACCCAAGUAGCUGUUGUGGCACAUCAGGGAAAUGUAACUGCUUCUACAACUGUAAAGAAAAUUUAACUAAUUUUAACUGAUUAAAUACUCAUCCCAGCUUCAGGGUUUUGUUUUGUGUUGUGCUGUAUUGUGUUGUGUUUGCUUGCUUCUUUUUACUUAGUAUUUUUUUGCUUUCUUUUUUGCCCUUGAGCAGAGGUUCAUUUCUAAUUCUCAUUGAAAUUAGAACAACAGUUGUGUCCCUAUGCAAUGACAGUGUUUCAAAUUCUUUGGGGAUUUGCCUACAAGUGUCUGCAGUCAUAUUGCGACAUCAAUUGUGAUGCCAAUCUCCAUGUAAACCAGACUUAUUGCCAGUGAGACAUUAUAUAUUUUUGAAGCCAACACUAUCUAUUUUAUAGGGGUUAGUAGUGUUGCCUCUGAAGAGAAUACUUUGGGUUGUCUUGUUUUUGUCCAUUUUCAGCCCUUUGAUUGUGGCCAGAGUAAUUAAUAUUUUUGUGUCUAGGUUUCCUCAUCUCUAAAAUAAAGAUGUUUAUUUCUAUAGCUUUAUGUUGACAAUUACAUUAUAUAAUUUAAAUGUUAUUCAACUAGAUAGUAAAUUGAUACAUAAUGUAUUUAUAAAUAACAGAUGUUAUCUUUAUGUUAAUUUUUAUUAUCAUCAUUAUCAUUAAUUUUCAGGUCCAUGUUCCGUCUAAAAAGAAGCCACACUCUGUCUAAAACAAGCUUUGUAAGAAAAAUUUGGAGUAUUUACUUAUAUCUAACCAUUCAUUCCACCUUUUUUCCCAAAUAACACUCUAAUGAGAAAUCUUGUCUAGGUCAAGUUUUCAUAACUGCUCGUGAGGCAGGGUCUGGAGGGAGGAAACCUAAAGCCAAUUCACACUAACUUCCUAAAAUAAAAUCUAAAGGAAAACCCCAAGUUUUUUCGCCCAGGUAACAGAAGGAUCGAGGCUAUACUCCCUUUGCAACCUGUCCCUUUUCUACCUGGCAGAUGAAAAAUGAAAAAGUACCUCUGACUGGUCCCCUUCCGCAACCAAUCAGACUGGUUGUGGACCACUACUUCAUUUACAUAAGGUGUAAACAGAGUAACCAAUGGGAAACCUCAGAUCUAGAGGGUAUGGAAACCCCAGAAAAUUCUGUAACCAGUGGUCUCCAUCAGCUUGCUCAAUCCUGCUCCCACUCAGUGGGGUGAACUUCCGUUUCAAUAAACCUGUGUUCUUCCUUCGUUGCUUUGUUUGUGCAUUUUGUCCAAGUCUUUAUUCAAAAUGCCAGGAACCUAGACAUCCUCCACUGGUAAUACUUGUUGAUCAAAUAAAUAAUAUGCUAAUGAUUAAUGUAACUUAUCAACAUUUUUAAUUAAAUGAUCAUACAUUUAGGUUAUACAUAUUUCACUUCCUUCGAAGUCAUAGUUUUUGAACAGAAACAAAAACUGUUGCCAUAUAAAAACCUGGAAUUUGAGAUGCCUGACAAAAAUGCUUCAUAUGGUCAAAAGGACUAUUAAAUUCUAAAGAAAAAGCCAUAUGUCAUUUCUUAUCUAAAGCACUUUUGAUAAAUUUAUAGUGGAAUUUGAUUUUAUGUUGUACAGGAUGUAGCCUUUAGUUCAAAGAUAAUGAACUGUGCUAUAAUGACAGAGGUGUAGUGAGAUAGUAUCUACCGGACUAACCCUAACCUCAAUUAUAGUGUAAUAUGCAACUUCCUUAACUCGAAAUAAAUAAGCAUACUAACAAUGAAAUAAAAUACUCAUAAAACGAACAACAUAGAACCUAAGAUUUAACAUCUAUUUACAUAACUUAUGCUUGAUUCAUACAGUGACUAUAUAUAAGGUAUGCCAGAAAUAAGCUCAAUGUACUGCUUAGUACUGACUAAAAUGUGCAUUUGUGACAUGGUAAAAGUUUUAUAAAACUGCAUACUUUAACUAUACUUUAGCUUUUUGUUGAAACUGCUUUCUCUGAUGUGACAGGCAAGCAGUUUAAACCCAUGCCAUUUUGGCUCCUGCGACUUGUAAUAAGUAACUACAACACAUUCUUUAAUAAUUGAAUCCCUACUUCCAGAAAUGUUUUGUGGUGAUUUACAGUACAAUCUGAUAAAACAAAAUGUACAUGUAGAAUAAAGACUAUACAUUAAAUAAC